rnacentral:rRNA from 1 species
AUACGGAGGGUGCAAGCGUUAUUCGGAAUUACUGGGCGUAAAGGGCGCGUAGGCGGCACUGUAAGUCAGAUGUGAAAGUCCAGGGCUUAACCCUGGAAGUGCAUCUGAUACUGCAGAGCUUGAGUAUCGGAGGGGAAAGUAGAAUUCCCGGUGUAGAGGUGAAAUUCGUAGAUAUCGGGAGGAAUACCGGUGGCGAAGGCGGCUUUCUGGACGAAUACUGACGCUGAUGCGCGAAAGCGUGGGGAGC